AAAAGGUUUGCCAUCACUGCCCUAUACCAUUUCAGACAAAUGGUUGCCCAAUCUUUUCUUAAAAACCUCCAGCAAUGGAGCACCCACAACUAAUGGCGGCAAGCCAUUGGUAAAUAGUUCCAACUCUCAGGAUUUAUUUUUUUUAUUUCUAGGUUGCCUCUCUCUUUGAUUAGUUUCCAUCCAUUGCUUCUUGAUCCUCCUUCAGGUGCUUUGGGGAAUACUUUGUAAGCUGUUAGUUGAGUGAGGAAACUAACACCAGUGACCUGAUUUACAUAUUGGAGUCAUAGUUAAAUUAGCCGGUUUUUUGAAUAACAACUAAAAAGGGACCAAAUUCAUCCAUUAGUUAAUGUGAGAUGUGAUCUCAGCCAAGACCAGGCAACAAAAUGUGUGAUAAACAAAAUGCAUCUCCCUCAAGUAAAACAAAGAAUGAUAAUCAGAUUUUGCUACAAUGAGCUGCAAUCCCUGUAAUUUCUGGUAAAACAAAAUUGCCCUGGGAAUAGAUGGACUCCAGCCCAUAUUACAUUUAAAGCAAAGAGCAUAGAAAAGUGGUAGAAGUUGAUCCUGCUUCUAUGUCUACAAAUCUAUAGCCAUCUUAGAUUUAACUGGCUUUCCUGACAAAGCAAAGAAUUUUCUGAAUUUCUGCACAUUUUUGGCAACAGUUCAUCAUAUGCUUUAGCCUCUAAUCUCUUAAUCAUCAACAACUUUUUUGUAUUCUGGUAAUCAAAACUGGUCGGCAGUAUUCCAAGUGUGGUCUUAUCAAAGCAUUAUAAAGCAAUAAUAACACUUCACGUGACCUUCACUUGAUACUAUAUCUCUGCUAGUCUGCACUUGGAGGACUAGACAAGCAAAUGGAGUAACCUUAACUUUAAUAAUGAUGGAAUUAGAAAAGAGCCAAAGCCCUCAUCAGUCCUCUCUUAAUUAAUUUGACACCCAGGCAGCUGUAUUUCUCACGUAUUAUAAUGCUGACAUUGGGCUACCAGAUCUGGGUCUUUGCUGGUCUUUUAUGCUGAAUAUGAUCUGAUUUUCUUCAUGUAGCUGGGCAGUCCCUGGUGCAGCAGAAACCAAAUAAAAAUCAGAAGAGGACAUAAGAUAGUCCUUGAGUUCUGUCACCUUUCCUUAUACUAGACUUCAUCCAGAUUGUGCCUAAUCUUGAAUCUGCAUCUUUACAAAAUCUGCACUUCACUGCAUCAUUCUGUGUUUGGCUACAAAUACAAUUCUGACACUCCAUUUCCUCCUGAAGAAUUGGAUCUGCUUCAUCGGGAAUCGGCUUUUUGCCCUCUUGAAGAGUGGCUCUGUGUGUGUUCCUUUAGCCUGCAAAUCCCUCCCUUUCUCCUUUUUCUUCCCUGCAGCAUCUCUACAUCACUUGCGCCUGCCCAUCCCAGUCUCCGAUUCCAGCACAGCUGCUGCUAUUCUUGCUUCUCCCCAUCAUCAUGCUGGACAUAUUCAUUCUCAUGUUUUUUGCCAUUAUAGGCCUGGUCGUUUUAUCGUAUAUCAUCUACAUGCUGUAACAUGUCUGGCCACAGCCCCACUGCCAUCAACAGCCUGUGAAGGACAGCCAAGCCAGGAAGCAGGUUUUUUCCCCACUCCUUAUUUCAUGCAAUUGUUUCAGCAAUUUUGCAGACAGGAGCAGCAUCUGUGGAUUAUUUCCAUGUUUACAUCUCAGCAGCAUGGUGUUCCAGAGCAUUCUAGAAAAAAGUUAACCCUUGCCAAACUCCGACAGAAGAAUGAUUCAGCUAAAUGCUGAAACUGUAUCCUAAGAAUUCAGAAGACUGAGUUGGAAGUGCAUGGGAAGAACAAGAGGCAAGGAAAAUGAAAUCAGCAAAAGCAGAGAGUGUGAAUUUAAUGGAAUGAUCCUAAGACAGUGGAGGGGAAGAAUCUGCUUUUUUAGUGUUAAAAGAAAAAAGUUGUGUUUCUAUAGAUCUAGACAUACAACCUUCAGUGAUUUUAAGUACUAAAAUGCAGGAUUCUGAAAGCAUCAGAUUGCAGAGAAAAGGGUUGGGAGAAGACUGAUAUGCCUUCUGAAUUAUAUUUAAUGUUUGCUAUGCUAAACAUUUCUCAAGACAAUAAAAGGCAAUUAUAUACAGAAAAUUCCGUUGUAGCUACAGAACAGUUUGCUGGGGGGAAUACGAGGGAGGAAAACACUAUCUACUAAUUAAUUACACAGUAUUUUCAAAAUGUCAUACUUAUCUCUGUGUGGAAGAUUGGGGCAUAUCUGAAAAUGCAGCCUCAUUCUAUGGAUCAGCAAGUCUAUUUUUUUCUUGCUUUUUUAAAAAACAAAACUGUCCAGAAAUAAUUGUUUAUAACUGGUUGUUUUCUCUGCUAUGUUUUAUCAUGCUAAAUACAUGUUUUAUCAUGCUAAAUAAAAUGUCAUUGCAAAGGAACCAAAAA